UCGCUCUGUCACCCAGGCUGGACUGCAGUGGCGCGAUCUUGGCUCACUGCAACCUCCGCCUCCUGGAUUCAAGCGAUUCUUCUGCCUCAGCCUCCCGAGUAGCUAGGAUUACAGGCAUGUGUCACCACGCCCGGCUAAUUUUGUAUUUUUAGUAGAGACGGGGUUUCUCCGUGUUGGUCAGGCUGGUCUCGAACUCCUGACCUCAGGUGAUCUGCCCGCCUCGGCCUCCCAAAGUGCUGAGAUUACAGACGUGAGCCACCGUGCCUGGCGGAAUUUUCAUAUUUUAAGUCCCCCACCCUUGGACAUUUAGAUUUUUUCCAUCUUUCUGUAUUUGCAGAUAUGCUUCUACGUACACCUUUAUUCAUUUGCUUGAACAUUUCCCUGAGAAAAACUAGAAAUGGAAUUGCCAGAUUACUUUGUGUACAUGUUUCCAAACUGUCCUCCAGAAAGAAUGUAAUGCUUUGAACUUCCACUUGAGAAUCAAAUGUUUACCUUCCUCUGUUCCUCCAGAUUUGGACAUUUACAGUGUUCAGCCGUUGUUGUGGCAUUCCAAUUCAAUUGGGAAACAGCUUGAUGUAGCGUCCCCAUAAGGUCCACAGUAAUUAAAUUUUUUUUUUUUUUUUUUGGUGCGGUAGUGCAAUUUCAUGGCUCACUGCAACCUCCACCUCCCAGGUUCAAGCGAUCCUCCCAUCUCAGCCUCCCUAGUAGCUGGGAUUACAGGUGCACGCCACCACACCAGGCUAAUUUUUGUAUUUUUAGUAGAGAUGGGGUUUCACCAGGUUAGCCAGGCUGGUCUUGAACUCCAGACCUCAAGGGAUCCGCCUGCCUCAGCUUUCCAAAGUGCUGGGAUUACAGGUGGAGACUGGACCUCAGAAGAGGGAGUGGGUGCCCCGAGAACUCACAGCUAGCGGACAGUGGAAAGGGCAGGAGCCGGACCAAGGUGAGGACAGUGGAACUGAAGGCCGCUGGUUACCUCUCCUGCCCUCCGCUGGCCACAGUGGAGAAGACAGCCCCUCCCUCCUGCUCUGACCUGACAGUGUUCAUCCAUCGCCCUGUAUUAGCGAAGAACAACAUCAAGCUGGCUAGCAAGGAACUGUAUACAGGGUCCAGCUGGGUAUCACACUGGAUCUCACCCAAAGCUUAGAUGUGAUCCAGCUCAGUAUCACAAAGCAGAACGAAAAGGAUGUGUUUGGGCUGAGAGGCCAUACAUUGGCUCCGGCAUGACGGGUGACUUCUUCCGAGUCUGGCUUCUGCAGCACACAGGGCUUCGCCAGCACCCAGCUCCUGCAGCAUGGGCAGCUCCUGUGACAGCAGGCGCCCGCAGCCUGCAAAGCGUCUCCAGUGCCGCCGCCUCAGUGAACCUCAACCAGCGGCACCUAGCAGCUUUCUCUGCCACCCUCUUCAGGUCUGGAUCUAAGCCCAGGGACCAGGAAACCUCUUGCUUGAGUGCUGGAACUCAGGCCAGAAGGCAGGAAGCCCGCCUGACCCCAUGUCUCAGGCUGCCAGAGGAGCGUGCGAUGAGGAAGGCUGGACUGUCUUCACAGGACACCAGGGAGAAGCCUCAAGCCACUGCCCCCUGACAAGUCGCAGCUCUCCAGCCUGUCUCCUCACUCCCCUCCCCUCCACAUGGGGGGGUUGGGGUGGGGGCGGGGAAGGUUCGGGGCAGGGGUCAUUUCAGCUACUGGGCACCAGUCUCCUCCUCAUGUUUAUCCUGUUCCCUUUGCUUGAAAGGUUCGUACUCCAGAUCCUUGUAAAACCGCUUCUCACCCUUUGAGUCUCAGCUUAAAUGUCCCCUCCUUGGAGGGGUCUUCCCUGACAAUGAAGCUCCGACCGUCCUCUCCUGUUUUACCCAGUUCAUUUCUUUCUGGCAUUUGUAACUACUUGAAGUUAAAGUGUGUGCCAUGUA
ensembl:lncRNA ZNF213-AS1 ZNF213 antisense RNA 1 (head to head)